CAGCUGUGGUAAUACGUAGGGUGCAAGCGUUAAUCGGAAUUACUGGGCGUAAAGCGUGUGUAGGCGGUUCGGAAAGAAAGAUGUGAAAUCCCAGGGCUCAACCUUGGAACUGCAUUUUUAACUGCCGAGCUAGAGUAUGUCAGAGGGGGGUAGAAUUCCACGUGUAGCAGUGAAAUGCGUAGAUAUGUGGAGGAAUACCGAUGGCGAAGGCAGCCCCCUGGGAUAAUACUGACGCUCAGACACGAAAGCGUGGGGAGCAAACAGGAUUAGAUACCCUGGUAGUCCACGCCCUAAACGAUGUCAACUAGCUGUUGGGGCCGUUAGGCCUUUAGUAGCGCAGCUAACGCGUGAAGUUGACCGCCUGGGGAGUACGGUCGCAAGAUUAAAACUCAAAGGAAUUGACGGGGACCCGCACAAGCGGUGGAUGAUGUGGAUUAAUUCGAUGCAACGCGAAAAACCUUACCUACCCUUGACAUGUCUGGAAUGCCGAAGAGAUUUGGCAGUGCUCGCAAGAGAACCGGAACACAGGUGCUGCAUGGCUGUCGUCAGCUCGUGUCGUGAGAUGUUGGGUUAAGUCCCGCAACGAGCGCAACCCUUGUCAUUAGUUGCUACGCAAGAGCACUCUAAUGAGACUGCCGGUGACAAACCGGAGGAAGGUGGGGAUGACGUCAAGUCCUCAUGGCCCUUAUGGGUAGGGCUUCACACGUCAUAACAAUGGUCGGGACAGAGGGUCGCCAACCCGCGAGGGGGGAGCCAAUCUCAGAAACCCGAUCGUAGUCCGGAUCGCAGUCUGCAACUCGACUGCGUGAAGUCGGAAUCGCUAGUAAUCGCGGAUCAGAAUGUCGCGGUGAAUACGUUCCCGGGUCUUGUACACACCGCCCGUCACACCAUGGGAGUGGGUUUCACCAGAAGUAGGUAGCCUAACCGUAAGGAGGGCGCUUACCAC
rnacentral:rRNA from 1 species